rnacentral:misc_RNA from 1 species
CAGAGAACUUGCCCUUCGGGGUAGAUCUCCCACCCUGUGUUUACGUUACCAUUGUUGCUUUGACGGGCCCGUCCCUCGGGACCGCCGGCUUCGGCUGGCCCGCGCCCGUCAGAGGACCCCAAACUCUGAAUAUUAGUGUCGUCUGAGUACUAUAUAAUAGUUA